AACGCAGGUAGAGAUGGUUCUCGAACCACAGGAGAGAAAACCUCAGAUCAGGCCCCGCCCACCCAGCCAUCAGCCAGGGGAGGACAUCCGGCCGUCCAUCCGACCAAGGCAAGGGCAGGUUUCUCAAGAGGUAAUUCUCCACCUAGGGAAGGUCUUCUGCAAACAAAGCCAAUGUCCAGAUUUCCCAAUAAAGAAGACUACAGUGGGACUAACACGGGAAUUCAGGGUACUUGCCAGUUUCCUCUCAUUGAAAACGUGAUUUCCCUGCCGUUCAAGGUCCCCAGCGCUCACCCAUCCCUAUGGGCUUGGAGGGCUUUCCAUCAGAAACAGAAUCCCAGCACCAUAUGAAGAAGCCUACAUUAGCCUGUGGGAUGAGGUGCCUGUAGGCCAGCCACCCAAUACCUCAGCUGACAACCAGCCAACUCCGUGACAGAUAAAGCCAUCCCAGGGGCCUCCCUGAUGGU